GGCCCAAUCCGUUAAGAGAACUGGCUAGGGCUUUAUAGAAUUUUCUUACAAAGAAUUUUAUCUUUCUUAUCCUCCUACUGUCUUCUCAUACUUUUUCCAUUCCUUGUCUCCUCCUCCAUCUCUACAAACUAAUAGAUCCCUAGUUUUCCAUUUCGUUUGGUUGUGGGUGAUUCACACCUACCUCUGUUAUCUUCUCUUCUUUCUCUGCUCACAGAAAGGUAUCUUUCAGUGGAUGCAGUGGAUUCGAAGAUAAUUUUGAAAGAGGUACCAAGUCAUGAGUGUUAUUUAAGACAUCCUCUAUCAGCAAACCUGUAGGAUUCGUAAAUCCAAUUAGCUCUUCCAAGAGACUCAUGCAAAUUUCAGAAAAAAGAUCUUCAAUUUCCUUUUCUCAUUCUUCUUUUUUUAGAGGAAGAUGUUCCUCUUCUUCAAACAAGAAUAUUAAAUGAAGUGUUUCUUUGAUAGAAACAUGUUCAUUCUUUUAUGGAGGAGUGAGUUUAUUAUAAUCAUCGCAGUCCUCUUCAGAGGAGGAUUUAAACUCCUCGUAUUCAGAUCCCUUUUCAUCUGACUCCACUUCAUCAAAUUCCUCCUUAUUAGACUCCUCAUCAUUCUAAUUUUUAGACUUGUCCAUAGAGCAUGGCCAAAGAUGAUCUGUUCGGUCUUUGUUGUGGUUUUCACCCUCAACAAAAAGGUGAGGUACGAUUACGACAUCAUGAUCAUUCUCCUUUUAAAAACUAUCAUAUAUUUCCUCACAAGUUCAUGGAAUGAAAUUCCUCCUCUUGUUACCUCUAGAAGGCUCCAUCAUUCUUCUUUUCCUUCCAACCUCUCCAAUAUUCUCAACAACUCACAGAAUCCUUUUGACUCCUCGUAAUCACUUAGAAGAAGUUGAACUUUUGUUGUUUUCACUCUGAAUAGUAAGUGGACUCCCCAAUGGGAUAACCCAAACGAAAGUCCAUUUCUCGUGAGUCCCAUCGUCCACCCAUAUUUCACACCCACAUUCACAAGUUGUGUCUCCAAUUCUGUAAUGGGACUCUUACAAUAUCUACACAACCAUUUUGAAACAAAGUCAUCUCCUCAAUCCAUAAAUAUGCACCUGAGUCAAAUUGCAUAAUCAUUAGUACACUAAAAAUUGAUCACAAAAUAAUUAAGUUCAUUAUUGACUUCCAAAAUAAAAAAAUAUUUGUCAUUUUGGAAGUCUAAGACAAACUUAAUUAUUUUCUCAUCAAUUAUCAGUAUACUAAUGAUUGUGUAAUUUGAUUCAUGUGCAUAUUUAAGGAUUUAGGAGAUUACUUUGUUUAAAAAUGGUUGUGUCGAAAUUGUAAGAGUCCUAUUACAGAAUUGGAUACACAACUUGUGAAUGUGGGUGUGAAAUAUGGGUGGACGAUGAGACUCAUGAGAAAUGGACUUUCGUAUGGAAAUCCCAUUGGUGAGUCGUCCUCUUAUUAUUAAGGGUGAAAAGAACAAAGUCCCGAUUCUUCUAAGUGAUGCGAGGAGUCUGAAGAGGACUGUGAAGUUGUUGAGAAUAUUGGAGAGGUAGGAAGAUAAAGAAGAAUGGUGGAGCCUUCUAGAGGUGACAAGUGGAGAAAGUUUAUUCCAGGAACUUAUUAGCAAAUAUAUGAUAAUUUGGAGGAUGAGAGUGACCCUGAUAUAGUUAUUGCACCUCAACUUGUUGUUGAGGAUGAAAACCACAACAAAGACCGAACAUAUCUUCUUCAGCCACGUUCUAUGACAAGUCUAAGAAUAAGAAUGAUGAGGAGUCAUGAAGAGAAAUAUGAUGAUGAGGAGUCGGAUGAAGAGGGGGUUGAUUAUGACGAGUGUUAAUCCUCGUAUAAAGAGGACUACAAUGAUCAUAAUAAACUCACUCCUCCAGAAGAUAAGGAACAUAUUUUGUCAAAAAAAAAAACACUUCUUUAAAUAUUCUAGUUUGAAGAUGAGGAACCUCUUCACCAAGAGAAAGAGGAAUGUGUAAAGGAAACUGAAGAUCUUUUUUUCUGAAAUGGGCAUGUGUCUCUUUGAAGAACAAUUAUCAUUACGAAUCCAUCAGUUUCACCGAUGCAGAGUGAAAAAGCAAGUGAUUGUCAAAUGGGGAGCCAUAAGCUUAAGUUACGUGAAAAAAUUGGACUCAUGAUAAGUACAAAAAGGAUUGUCUGUUGAUUCAUGAAGCUCAGUUGGCUGCUUCUCUGGGGGAGUUGGGAGAUUAAAAGAUCAACUUAUUCAACAACAAAUUGAUAACAAUGCUCGUGUUGAUCAUAUACUUCAUGCUUUUUCUAGGCCUUAGUUAAUGGCUUUUCUGUCCAAUAUUUAGACAUUAUUAAUGGUUCUUGGUUGCAUUGCUUCUAUAGGUUUUGUCGAUAUUUUAUAGUAGUAUCCUUAUAUUUUAAUGAUGUCGAUAUGUUUUGGCUCUAUAUUGGGCUUUUUGAUAUGUCAAAA